rnacentral:SRP_RNA from 1 species
GCCGGGGACCUCAUGGAAUGAGGCAGUUCGAACCAGGUCAGGACCGGAAGGUAGCAGCCUUAAGGACCUCGCCUUAUGCCUUGAGAUAAUCUCCGGCUUU